GACGAACGCUGGCGGCGUGCCUAACACAUGCAAGUCGAACGGAGAAUUAGCAAUAAUUCUUAGUGGCGAACGGGUGAGUAACGCGUAGACAACCUACCCUUUAGAUGGGGACAACACCGCGAAAAUGGUGCUAAUACCGAAUAUUGCUUGAGAAGCGCAUGCUUUUCAAACUAAAGAUGGCCUCUAUUUAUAAGCUAUCGCUAAAGAAUGGGUCUGCGUCUGAUUAGCUAGUUGGUGAGAUAAAAGCUCACCAAGGCAACGAUCAGUAGCCGGUCUGAGAGGAUGAACGGCCACACUGGGACUGAGACACGGCCCAGACUCCUACGGGAGGCAGCAGUGGGGAAUCUUCCGCAAUGGACGAAAGUCUGAUGGAGCAACGCCGCGUGAGUGAUGAAGGUUUUCGGAUCGUAAAACUCUGUUGUUAAGGACGAAUGUAUAGAUUGUGAAUAAUGGUUUAUAAUGACGGUACUUAACGAGGAAGCCACGGCUAACUACGUGCCAGCCGCCGCAGUAA
rnacentral:rRNA from 1 species